UGUGUCACAUUCGUGUUGUCCUGAUUGGCUAAUAUCAUGAGCCAUGCUAACAUGUCUAGACAUGUCUUCUGCCUUAUUGACUUAAAUGUAUCUAUUUUAUUGACAUGUUGUAGUUUGGUGAACUACGGCUGCUGUGUAUUGAUACGCUUUCUUUCUUUGUGCGGCACAGCGGAACAUCAGAAGAAUUACCGUAAUGUGGAGGUUCUAGAUGGCAGGACCAAGCAACAGCUGUGUUUUCUAGAUAAGGUGGAGCCUCACGUUACAAUAGGAGACAUCAAGAGACUUUUUCACAAGUCAUAUCAACAGUUGUAUCCAGCCAGACAGGACCUCAAGCUCGACCCCAAAGGAAAAUCACUGAAGGACGACGAUGUAUUACAAAACCUACCAGUUGGGACCACAGCAACCAUGUAUUUCAGGGACCUGGGUCCACAGAUCGGGUGGACAAUGGUGUUUUUGGCGGAGUACAUCGGCCCCCUGUUUAUCUACCUUCUGUUCUAUUUCCGAGUUCCCUAUAUCUACUCACAGCAGGAUGCCUUCACCUCCAGCUCCAACUCAGUGGUCACACUAGCCUGUGCUUGUCACACCUGCCACUACAUCAAGAGAUUGAUUGAGACCGUCUUUGUGCACCGGUUCUCCUAUGGCACCGUGCCUCUCAGGACUACAGUCAGGAGCUGUGUGUAUUACUGGACCUUCUCUGCGUGGGUGGCCUUCUACAUCAACCAUCCACUGUACACGCCUCCAUCGUAUGGGGACAUGCAGGUGAACUACGCACUGGCUAUAUUUGUGCUUUGUGAGGCUGGUAAUUUCUCCAUUCACGUGGCCCUCAAUAACCUCAAGGCAGAAGGUGGGCCCAAGUGCAGAAAGUUCCCUCGCCCGACGAAGAACCCAUUCACAUGGCUCUUCUUCCUCGUGUCUUGCCCCAAUUAUACCUACGAGGUAGGAGCCUGGGCAAGUUUCUCUGUCAUGACCCAGUGUCUUCCAGUGGCCUUGUUCACCUUCUUUGGUUUGAUCCAGAUGGCCAUCUGGGCCAAUGGGAAGCAUAAAGCCUACACCAGGGAGUUUAAGGACUACCCACACCUGCGCAUGCCAAUUAUCCCACUCCUCCUCUGACCACGCGAGAAAACGUUUACCAUUCUGCCUGGGGGGUAUUAGAGGCAUCAACCUGUCAGAGACGCUGUUGGAGAUUGGUGGGUUAAUGUAUUUCUCACAAAGCACGAAGACCCCAUUGGCUGUUCCUUCAUCUAGCGUCAUGGCAAUGAUCUGUUAUCUUUUCAACAACUAUCAAGGACAGAAUUCACAGAAAGUAUUGUGUCAUCACUGUUGUGGAUUGUGUAUUGAUUAUGUUUAAUUCAAUCUUUGAGACGCAGCUAUAUUGAUAAGUUAUUUUGUUGAUUUAUUUAACCGAUCAGGAUGAUUGAUUGACUGUUACAAUGAAGCUACUGAAGGGUCAGCUGCUGUCGGUAUUCUUCGUCUUCAGACGGUGGAAAUCACCCGAAAUUAUUAAGUUAUGAAUAUACGAUUGGAGUUACAGUAUAUCUAAUCUACCAUAUUAUUUUGUAAUAAGUUAUUGUGCAUUUCCUAGAAGAAAAGAGUUUGUAACUUGCUACGAUAUACCCGUUUAGGAAGUCGUCUUGUAACAACAUUUGUUACGGCUGAAGUGUAUCAGGGCUAUUUUCAGUUUACAGAGUAAGUAGAGAAGGGGAAAUGGAAUCGGUUAACUAAGAAGUGAUCUAGAAGCAACGAAGAAAUGGAACUUCAGCAGAUGUUCUAAGUUCUAAAUUAGAUUCUUUUCCACCUCUACAUAUGUUUGAAAGUAACAAAACGACCUGAUGAUUUUAACUUUGGGAGAAAGUCGAGGCUAAUUUAGUUAUGCAUUACUUAUGUAUCGUUCAAACUAACUACAAUCCGUCCAGUUCUCAGGUGUUACUAGAUGUAAGGGGCACUGUUGCAUCCUGUACAAAUUCUAGACAAACUAAAUUAUAGACAAACUCAUUUUUUCGACAAACUUGUUUUGUAGACAAAGUGUACAUAUGGAAUAAAUCAUUGUGAUCAUUUAAAAAGACAAGUCUUUUUAACUUAAAGAAGAGUCGUGCAUAUUUCGCAAAAAAUCAAUCAUUGUUACAGAAAAUAUUUAUUUGAAAUGAUUAUCUCAGACAAUUCAAGAAUCUCUCAUUUGCAAACAAAUCAGUUAUCAGGCAUAUGCAUAAAACUGCAAAAUUGUAUGCAGAGAAGAAAGCUUCAUGUUUAAACAGUACAUAUAGGCUUACACAAUCGCAUCAUCAUUUAAAAAAUGAAUUCAAUAAGCAACAAAUGCUUUUAACAGUCAUUUCGGCCAGUGUAUUAUGUACACCGCCCAGUUCACACAAAUAUUUAGAUCAUACAGACAGUGAGUCACGUGGUUUGCUAUAUAAAUUCAGUUACUGUUUGAUUGGAAGUUAGAAUGGGCAAAACGAGUGACCUAAGCGACUUUGAGCGCGGUAUGAUCGUCGGUGCCGGUUCCAGGACCUCAGAAACGUCCGGCCUCCUUGGCUUCUGACACACGACAGUGUUUAGGGCAGGAGUACUCAACCCUACGAGAUCCGGAGCCUGCUGGUUUUCUGUUCUACCUGGUAAUGAAUUGUCCCCAGGUCUAAAUCAGUCCCCGAUUAGAGAGGGAAGAAUGAAACAAUGCAGUGGAACUGGUGUCCCAGGUCUAAAUCAGUCCCUGAUUAGAGAGGGAACAAUGAAACAAUGCAGUGGAACUGAUGUCCCAGGUCUAAAUCAGUCCCUGAUUAGAGAGGGAACAAUGAAACAAUGCAGUGGAACUGAUGUCCCAGGUCUAAAUCAGUCCCUGAUUAGAGAGGGAACAAUGAAACAAUGCAGUGGAACUGAUGUCCCAGGUCUAAAUCAGUCCCUGAUUAGAGAGGGAACAAUGAAACAAUGCAGUGGAACUGAUGUCCCAGGUCUAAAUCAGUCCCUGAUUAGAGAGGGAAGAAUGAAACAAUGCAGUGGAACUGGUGUCCCAGGUCUAAAUCAUUCCCUGAUUAGAGAGGGAACAAUGAAACAAUGCAGUGGAACUGAUGUCCCAGGUCUAAAUCAGUCCCCGAUUAGAGAGGGAACAAUGAAACAAUGCAGUGGAACUGAUGUCCCAGGUCUAAAUCAGUCCCUGAUUAGAGAGGGAACAAUGAAACAAUGCAGUGGAACUGAUGUCCCAGGUCUAAAUCAGUCCCUGAUUAGAGAGGGAACAAUGAAACAAUGCAGUGGACCUGAUGUCCCAGGUCCAGAGUUGAGUUUGAGGGGUGUAGAGUUUACUUGGAAAUGGUGUGCGACAAACAAAACACAUCCAGUCAGGGGUACUGCUCUGUUUCAGCUGUCAUGGACAG